rnacentral:rRNA from 1 species
GACGAACGCUGGCGGCGUGCUUAACACAUGCAAGUCGAACGGAAAGGCCCUGCUUUUGUGGUGUGCUCGAGUGGCGAACGGGUGAGUAACACGUGAGUAACCUGCCCUUGACUUUGGGAUAACUUCAGGAAACUGGGGCUAAUACCGGAUAGGAGCUCCUGCUGCAUGGUGGGGGUUGGAAAGUUUCGGCGGUUGGGGAUGGACUCGCGGCUUAUCAGCUUGUUGGUGGGGUAGUGGCUUACCAAGGCUUUGACGGGUAGCCGGCCUGAGAGGGUGACCGGCCACAUUGGGACUGAGAUACGGCCCAGACUCCUACGGGAGGCAGCAGUGGAGAAUAUUGCACAAUGGGCGGAAGCCUGAUGCAGCAACGCCGCGUGCGGGAUGACGGCCUUCGGGUUGUAAACCGCUUUCGCCUGUGACGAAGCGUGAGUGACGGUAAUGGGUAAAGAAGCCCCGGCUAACUACGUG